rnacentral:lncRNA from 1 species
CUCGUUGAGGAUGUCCGAUUUUAGAAUGCAACCCAGCACUCUCAGUAAUUCAAAGCAGAACCUCGUGCUCAUAGCCUCCACAGCAUAAUUAAGGAGCCGCUGCGAUGUAUCGCUUGGGGCAAAAAGAAAGAGAUCUGGGCAUAA